GUGCUCACUUAGGCAGCACAUAUACUAAAACUGGAACGAUACAGAGAAGAUUAGCAUGGUCCCUGCGCAAAAGAGAGGAUCAGGAAAAAAAAAAAAAGAACACUUUU